UCUUCUUUCUCCUUUCUCUUCUCUUUCUUCAUCCUGCUUGUUUUUUUCUUUCUCCCCCAGAGAACUAUCUUUCAUUUUGGGGAAAUGAGUCAAUAGAAGAGGGGAAAGAGGAGCUGUUUGAGGAGGCGAGGAGAUUGGUUCAAUCGAAGAUAAUGAAAGAGAAGGAAGAGG
rnacentral:ribozyme from 13 species